CCUACGGGUGGCACCAGUGGGGAAUCUUGGACAAUGGGCGAAAGCCCGAUCCAGCAAUAUCGCGUGAGUGAAGAAGGGCAAUGCCGCUUGUAAAGCUCUUUCGUCGAGUGCGCGAUCAUGACAGGACUCGAGGAAGAAGCCCCGGCUGACUCCGUGCCAGCAGCCGCGGUAAGACGGGGGGGGCUAGCGUUGUUCAGAAUUACUGGGCGUAAAGCGCGCGUAGGCGGAUAGAUAAGUCAGAGGUGAAAUCCCGGGGCUCAACCCCGGAAUUGCCUUUGAUACUGUUUAUCUUGAGUGCAGAAGAGGUAAGUGGAAUUCCGAGUGUAGAGGUGAAAUUCGUAGAUAUUCGGAGGAACACCAGUGGCGAGGGCGGCUUACUGGUCUGCAACUGACGCUGAGGCGCGAAAGCGUGGGGAGCAAACAGGAUUAGAUACCCGGGUAGUC
rnacentral:rRNA from 1 species